CACGUAGGGUGCGAGCGUUGUCCGGAAUUAUUGGGCGUAAAGAGCUCGUAGGCGGUGUGUCGCGUCGGCCGUGAAAACCUGCAGCUUAACUGUGGGCUUGCGGUCGAUACGGGCAUCACUGGAGUUCGGCAGGGGAGACUGGAAUUCCUGGUGUAGCGGUGAAAUGCGCAGAUAUCUGGAGGAACAUCGGUGGCGAAGGCGGCAUCCUGGACCGGUAUUGACGCUGAGGCGCGAAAGCUAGGGGAGCAAACGGG
rnacentral:rRNA from 1 species